AGAAUCAAUACAACAGAACUCACAAGUAAGAAAUGCCGGGAUGCUUGACACAGGAACAAAGUACAACCAAAAUGCACAUGAACAGGGACAACGACCUGACAAUGAACAAAGGAAAAGACCCGGACUGAAUACACUGAGAGGAGCCAGCCCGAGCAAGUUACCAUGUAUCACAACAACAGGCCCUUCAAUAUCCAUCUCUGGAGGAAGAUUCACUCCCCUGCCAUGAGAGACUCACCUUUAUGCAUCUGCUGUGAUUGUUUGUAAAUGAUGGCAACAUUGAUUUCAGCCUCACAUGGGAUUUUCUGUGUCCAUGUAAUUUGGCUGAAGGGAAGGAGGUAAAAUGGGAGAAAUGCUGGUAAUGGAGGUGGAAAUGGUGGAGAGAUAAAAGCCACCCACACAGAGACUACUGUACAGUAUGCAAGCAAGCUUGCUUUAAAGCACAAACAAAAGCACACAGACAUAAAACAAAACCUUCAAAACACCAUCACAAAAGAUUAUGGAUAUGCUGUCACACUGUACAAGGAAUGAGCAAUAGCAGAGUAACCUUAAGAGAAACCAAUGCUAUAGUAGUAUUCAGUGUGAAAAAACCCAAUGGUGGAUGUGAAUAAUAUUGCUGUGAAAGUGCAAGGCAAACAAAGAACACCCAUUUAUACAGAAAAAAACUAUUUUAAUGAGCACAUUUUUGUAGUACUGCAAACUUUUAUUGUAAGGAAACUAUGGAUGAUAAGAUGGGUAUGUCACAAUUCAUAUUAGAAAUAAAAAAACACUGUUGUACACUAUAUUGUGUAUGUGAUUUGACUGAAUGAUACCCAAAAUGUUGGUAAAUGGCACAAGGAUGUACUGCCAUCUGCUGACUGAAAUCACACAUCACAUUGCAGCUUGCAGGCUCUUGAGAGAGCUCAAAAAGUCAAGAGAAUAGAAAAACUGAAUUCCUUGUUCAUCAAAUUUAAAAUUAAGUGCUAAUAAGAGUAAACACCAAAUCCCAGGCAAAAGCUAUCUGAUCUGUAUUUCCCAACUUAUAGGAAUGUUUCAUGAUUGUUCUUAAGUUCAAAAUUGACUAAGAGUGAAAUUGUUUCAUUUGUAAAUGUGUUUUUCUUUUCUGAGAUCAGACAUGAACUCUCUGUUGACAGGAACAUAUGUAAUUGGCAAAUCAAAAAUGGACUAAAACUCAACCAAUGAGACAAUAUAGACUGUUGUACUCUGUUUAAUGGUUUUGCAGCCCGACAUAAAGGAAAUUAGCAUACAUAUAUAUGUGAUAUACAGUAGUUUCUGUCCAACCCCGGUCUCAUGGUUCAUUCAAAUAUUACAUUUUCACUUGCAAAAAUCAUCACUGGUAUCAAAGGAAGUUGUCAUCAAAGUGAUACUGCCUUCAUUGGUGCAGCUAGAACUCAUACUUAAAUUGUCUAUGCACAUGAUCCUGGUGAGGAUGAAACUUGAAAUUAACAUGAAGCAAGUAUCCUUUGUACCUGUCACACAGCACCAUUGAAAAUUUAGAAAAUUAAUCUAAAAAAGUUUAACAAAAGUGAGAACACCUUUUAGAAUCUAGAGCAGUGUUCUUAUGAUUGUGAAGAAUAACAUUUAAAAUGUAACACGCCGUGUGCUCCAAGAA